CAAUAGCGUAUAUUAAAGUUGUUGCGGUUAAAAAAGCUCGUAGUUGGAUUUCUGCUGAGGACGACCGGUCCGCCCUCCGGGUGAGCAUCUGGUUCGGCCUUGGCAUCUUCUUGGUGAACGUAUCUGCACUUGACUGUGUGGUGCGGUACCCAGGACUUUUACUUUGAGGAAAUUAGAGUGUUUAAAGCAGGCUUAUGCCGUUGAAUAUAUUAGCAUGGAAUAAUAAGAUAGGACUUUGGAACUAUUUUGUUGGUUUGCGUUACAAAGUAAUGAUUAAUAGGGACAGUUGGGGGGCAUUCAUAUUCCAUUGUCAGAGGUGAAAUUCUUGGAUUAACGGAAGAUGAACUUCUGCGAAAGCAUCUGCCAAGGAUGUUUUCAUUGAUCAAGAACGAAAGUUAGGGGAUCGAAGAUGAUCAGAU
rnacentral:rRNA from 1 species